rnacentral:misc_RNA from 1 species
CGCACAUUGCGCCCUUUGGUAUUCCGAAGGGCAUGCCUGUUCGAGCGUCAUUAUCACCCCUCAAGCCCCGUGCUUGGUGUUGGACGGCCGGUCGAGGCCCCCUCGACCCCUCCUAAAAAUAAAGACGGCGACCUGUGGUUCCCCCGGUACACUGAGCUUCUCACCGAGCACGUAUUGGACAAGGGCGCCCAGGACCCGGUCUUCUCCUCUCACGAGGAAAUUUUUCUAAGGUUGACCUCGGAUCAGGUAGGAAUACGCGCUGAACUUAA